rnacentral:piRNA from 1 species
UGUGCUUUAACGCCUUGUCCUCUAGUUGGUU